GCUUUGUUAGUUUUCGGUUAAAUCCAUAUGCUCAACAUAUGGGCUGUCGGGAAUACUGCAUAGCUAGGGAGUGGGAGAGGUAGACGGUACUCCAUAGGAAGGGGUAAAAUCCUUUGAUCUAUGGAAGACCACCUGUGGCGAAGGCGGUCUACCAGAACACGUUCGACGGUGAGGGAUGAAAGCUGGGGGAGCAAACCGGAUUAGAUACCCGGGUAGUCCCAGCUGUAAACUAUGCAAACUCGGUGAUGCAUUGGCUUGUGGCCAAUGCAGUGUCGCAGGGAAGCCGUUAAGUUUGCCGCCUGGGAAGUACGUACGCAAGUAUGAAACUUAAAGGAAUUGGCGGGGGAGCACCACAAGGGGUGAAGCCUGCGGUUCAAUUGGAGUCAACGCCAGAAAUCUUACCUGGGGAGACAGCAGAAUGAAGGUCAAGCUGAAGACUUUACCAGACAAGCUGAGAGGUGGUGCAUGGCCGUCGUCAGCUCGUGCCGUGAGAUGUCCUGUUAAGUCAGGUAACGAGCGAGAUCCCUGCCGCUAGUUGCUACCAUUACUCUCCGGAGUAGUGGGGCGAAUUAGCGGGACCGCUGCAGUUAAUGUGGAGGAAGGAAGGGGCCACGGCAGGUCAGUAUGCCCCGAAACUCUAGGGCCACACGCGGGCUGCAAUGGUAGCAACAAUGGGUCCCGAAUCCGAAAGGAUGAGGUAAUCCUCAAAUGCUACCUCAGUUAUGACUGAGGGCUGUAACUCGCCCUCACGAAUAUGGAAUCCCUAGUAACUGCGUGUCAUUACCGCGCGGUGAAUACGUCCCUGCUCCUUGCACACACCGCCCGU
rnacentral:rRNA from 1 species